CCCAAAGCGUAACGGAGGAGCACGAAGGUUGGCUAAUCCUGGUCGGACAUCAGGAGGUUAGUGCAAUGGCAUAAGCCAGCUUGACUGCGAGAGUGACGGCUCGAGCAGGUGCGAAAGCAGGUCAUAGUGAUCCGGUGGUUCUGAAUGGAAGGGCCAUCGCUCAACGGAUAAAAGGUACUCCGGGGAUAACAGGCUGAUACCGCCCAAGAGUUCAUAUCGACGGCGGUGUUUGGCACCUCGAUGUCGGCUCAUCACAUCCUGGGGCUGAAGUAGGUCC
rnacentral:rRNA from 1 species